rnacentral:lncRNA from 1 species
CCCAAGCUGGAUGUUGCCGUCGGUCUUACCCGAUGUUCCAGAACCGCAUCAUGGUUGCGAUGUUGUCAUUUAUUGUUGUUGUAUCUUGUCUCAGCUCUUCUACUGCAGCGGCAUGGUCCUGGUUCCAUUUUUGUUGCUCUUCCAGGAGUCUUCCAUGUUCUGCUUGCGUGUUCUAGAUGUCGAGGAGGGUGUUGUCGGUACGAGUGAAGAAAGCACCGGCCUCUUGAUAAUAGUCAUUCGUGAAGGCGUAGGAGGCGUCGGAGUAUCGUCCUGCAUCAAAUUGGGGUGGAGGUCUGGAUCCUGAAGCUCCAUAUGGAUCAGUGGAGUACCUGCCCGUAUGAAAAGGCGGGUUUAUCCACUGGUGAUCUUGGCUCUCCGGCCAUGUCUCUUCUGUUGGCUCUUGUGGUUGCGCAUGACGAGCCCAUGGGUCUCGAAGGACUCGAGGGUUGUAAUCGCAAUAAUGCAGGUGCGCUGCUUUUUCUGGUCCAGGGUCAGCUCCAUACCAAGUGCGUUCUCGGUGAGUGGUUAUCCUUUCAGAUGCCACUCGCUGUGGAGUUCUCUGGUUCACUGGUGUUGCUGCAAUCUCAAUCAAAAAGUUUUGCACAGAGUAGAGGCCAAGGUUCGGGUUAGGUAACCGAACCUUGCCUUUAUCAUCAUACAGCAUGUACAUUAUAUUUCCCUCUUUCUUUAACAUCCGAGCUUGUCUAAAUGUGUCAUAGCCAUGAUAAAUUCUUAACUCUUCUAUGAAGUCCAACGAUGAGUUUUCUAGUAAGUGAAGAUUAGUGGCUAGACGAGUGAUAAGUGAAGUACACCCUACUGGUCCCUGAAGACUAGGUAUACUAAGCCAAUGUGAAACUAAUAGUGUAACAGGUGAAGUGGGUACUUUACUAAUAGCAGCAUAUAAAAGUUGUAAAUCUCCUACUCUUACUUUCCUAAUAUCAUCGCGAUAGAAAAGAUUGUACCCAAGCCAUUUGUGAAACAUCCUAAGAGUGGGGUGUUCCAUGUCACUGGUUCGGGCUUGACUGUAAAAAUUAUCUCUAGAUAUUUCUCUCCAAAACUGGUGUCUCUCAAAAUUGGGUAAAUCGGAGUCAAUGUUCAGGAUGCAUCUUGAAGAGAAACCAAGAUGGUCGCUCAGCUCUCUCCAAGAUAACAUAAUUUCCUGUUUAAACAUCCGAAAAGCAAUUCCCCCCUCAUAGUAUUGUAAAGUGCAAAGAAAUUCGAGGGUGAGAAGACGAGAACCCAACUCAGUUAUAUUCCAAAAAUUUGUCCAACCCAUCAUUUGAAAAAUUAAGUCAAAUUCAUUGUCCAUACCUGUUUCUCGUAGUAGGAUUGGAUCGAUAGUAGGAGUGUGAAUGAAAUCUUUGUUCUUCAAUUGCUGAUAGACUUCCUUCUCUCUUCGGGUCUUCAGUCCAAGGUCUCCUAUCUUGAGAAGGACCUUGACUUGCUGGCCUGAUGAAGAUGAUGGAGCUUGUGUGGGUGUUGGAUCGACGCUCAUCUCUGAUGGCUGUGAGGAGUGUCGGGUUGAACUCCUUGUACCAAUGUUCUUGAGAGCCUUCCCUGCAUUCUUCACCUUCUUAAACAUCCUGCAAACAAAAGUUGGCAAAAACACAACUGGUGGAAAAUGUGAGAUAAAAUGUUAGUGGUUAGCUGUCCGGAGUGUCAGUAGUCAAGGGGUUAAUUGUUCAAGACAAGUUUCCAUUUUGGUAGAGCCUCCCCCUAAACAACUUUUACUUCCGCUUAGACAAUGAGAUCACUACUUGCUAGGUGACAAUCACUCUCUCAUAAGAACUCCAACCUUCCCUUCCACUCUCCUCUUUCUCUCUAUUCUCUUCUCUUCACUACAAAAGCUCCUUCUCGGAAAACUGAGAUUUGUGUGGUUUUCUGAAGUGUUUGUGUGAAGAGAAGGGGAGCUGGAGGUGGCCUUUUAUAGGCUGAGCAGGGGACAGGGCGGGCGCCCUUGGUAGGUGGGCGGGCGCCCACUUGUGAUGCCCAUCCUGGGUGUGCCUCCUCCACAUGCUUCCUUGCUUUGAUCUCACGCAGAAUAAUGUUGUGUUGGUGGUGGUUGGACGGUGGAAAGAUGUCAAGUGAGUGGAAACAUAUUGGUGGAUGAAAUUAUGUGAUGGGAUGUAUGUGAGAUGAAGUGUAUGACAUAUGGGACCCAAAGAGUGUGGGUCAUGCUUCUAGAAGAUUUAUAUGAUUAAAUAUAAUGCAGGAAAAUCUAUGAGAAUCGAAACUUAUUGAAAAUGAUAUUGGAAAAUAUUUUUGUGCCCCCACAAUAAUUAAUAAAUAUGGGUUGUUACACACCAUGAAUAUUAUUUAUCUGGGGCUUUUUGAUUAUUAUAAUAAUGCUAUGAAUAAAUGUGACUAAUGCAAGAUUUAAUUAUGCAAGAAAUUAAAUAUGAGAAAAAUAAUAAUGCGGAUAAAUACCGAUUUACCUCCCGGUGAGGGUUUGAGAUUUUUAGGUCCCCCAAGCUGGACCUCCAAUUCUUUUAAUCUUCUGAGUUUCCUUCCUCCGGAGAUGGUGUCUCCAGUGGUUCUUCAUGAACUUCCUUCACUGUAGAGUCUCUCUCUGGUCUGGGUUUGAAUGUGAAGUGUUCUUCUUGACCGUUUAUGUUAAACUUGAUUUCUCCUUUUCCGACAUCAAUGUGGGCAUUGGCAGUGCUCAGAAAUGGCCUUCCAAGGAUGAUGGAUACUUUUGAGUCAGGACUCAUGUCCAGUACUACGAAGUCUACUGGCACAAGGAAAUCUCUGAUCUUGACUGGAAUGUUCUCGGCGAUGCCCAACGGGUGUCGAACCGAUUGAUCCGCUAGUUGUAGGCACAUUGAUGUUGGUUCUAGGGUUACAUGAUCAAGCUUUUUGUAGACUGAUGCUGGCAUCACACUGACACUUGCUCCGAGAUCACAAAGUGCAUUGUUGAAGUGUUGGUUUCCGAUCGAGAAAUCAAUAGUGGGGCAUCCUGGAUCUUCCUUCUUCUUUGGUGGUUUGUUGAGGAUGGCCGCACUACAUUCUUCUGUCAGCUUGAUAACCUCAGUGGUGGGCAGUGGUCUCUUUUUGUUAAGAAUAUCUCUGAUGUACUUUGCAUAUGUAGGUACCUGUAUGGCAUCAAGUAGAGGUAUGUUGACAUAUAAUUUCUGAAUGACCUCUACAAACUUACCAAACUGCUCAUCCGACUGUAGUCCUCUGUUUCUUCUGGGAAAUGGCAAAUAGUUGGUGUCGUAAAAAUCUUUCCUCAUUUCUCCGGUUCUUGGUGGUUGGAGCAGAUCUUCUGCUUCAACUGGGCUUUCUUCUUCUAUCACUGCUGGUUGCACUGGUGCUGAUGUUCUUUGUUUCUCUUUUGGGUAUGGGGGAUCUCUCGUAGCUUUACCUCCUCUAGUAGUUAUAUUCUUUACCUGCUCAAUGUUAGUAGCAACAGGCAGUGCAGCAGCUAACUUUAUUAAUUUAAGCUCUACCCUUUUAUUAAGAGUGUUUUGCUCAUCAAAGGCAGUUAGUAGAAAAUCCAUUUUAUUAUGUAUAACUUUUAGAGAUGAUUCAUUUGUAUCUAGCCUUUGUUUAACUUCAUCAUUAAUUUUGGUUUGUUGAGCAAUUAUCUCUUUUAAUGAAAGUUGCUUGACAGUAUUACCUGAAUUCAUACCUUUGCUAUUGGGUUGACUUGAAGUUGGUUGAUAUUUGUAUGCUGUCUCAAUGGCCCUUUGAUCUUCUUUGAACUUGGCCCUCUGGUCAAUCCAAUGGAGCAAAUUUUCCAUCUUAGCUGAUAAUGCAUUUACUUCUUCUGGUAUUUCUUCAGUUUGAUGACAUUGUUGAGAUUUAUCUUGGAACCAGCUUUGGUUUUCUGCUAUCUUAUCCAAAAGUAUCUCUGCUUUUCCAGUUGUAAGCUCCAAGAAUGAUCCUUUAGCAGAUGCAUCUAGGCACUCACGAGCCUUCUGGGUUAAUCCAUGGUAGAAGGUCUGCAUAAGUAACCAUGUAGCCAUUCCAUGGUGAGGACAAUCUGAUAUGUAUCCUUGAAAACGCUCCCAUGCUUCUGAAAUGGCUUCUGUCUUCUGCUGUUGGAAACUGACAAUAUUUCCUCUUAAUGUAGUUGUUUUGCCUAUAGGGAAAAACUUUGAUAGAAAGGCAUCUGACAAGUUCGUCCAGUUGUUGAUGUUAUCUUGAUGAGUGUAGAACCACUUCCUCGCUUUUCCUUCUAGUGAGAAUGGAAAAAGGCGAAGCAGUAUGACGUCUUUGUCAACUCCGUUGAUGUGGAUUGUGCUCCCAAUCUCUAAGAAAUUCGGCAAGUGUGCACUGGCAUCUUCAUGUGCCUUUCCACUGAAUUGUGUAGCUUGCACCAAAUUGAUGAGGCUUGACUUGAGCUCAAACUCGAGUAUUCCUUCUUCUACUGCAAAUCUUGGACCAGUUGGAAUGUUGUCAAGACUUGGAGCAGAGAAUUCUUGCAAGGUCUUUUGUGCCAUAGCUUCAGCAAUUGGUAUCUAGCUUCUUCUUCUCUUGAUUGCUUUGGUUCUGAUGAUGAAGAGUUGAAUGUACCCAAAGUCAAUCCUAUUAUACCCUGUAUAAAAAUAUAAACAUAGAAAAACAACAGGGUGAACCUGCCAAAGCAGAGGUGCCUUGUUAUGAUUUCUCACUUAGUAGCUGUUUUAUGCAAUUAUUUCUCUAUAGUCUAGUCUAAAAUUUUAUAUGAAUAACUUUGACUGAUUUUCUAGCUUUCCUUAAUAUUACCCUUUUGUUCCCUUUAAUGACUUAUUCCUGAGGCUCGUAUAAUUCCUAUAAGAUCCUAUAAUUCCCCGACAACGGCGCCAGAAAUGCUUGUUGACACUAGCUAACACCACUUAGAUACUAGGUUGUCAUCCCUAGCAUGGCGCCAGAGUGUACAAAGGUAUUUAUAAAUGUAAAGGCUCUCUAGAAAAUAAUCUAUUCUAUCCGCAAGCGCACAGAUAAAACACCUCAUUGUAGCAUUUCACCAGGAUAAGUAUUCCAGGUAUCGUUAUUUAUAAUUUUGCUCUAGGGAUCUAAAGAAGAUGGAAUUAAAUCAAGGGACAAAAUCUAUCAAGGCAUAGACUAGAGAUAAACUUGCAAGAACAUGAUUACUAAUGAGAAACUCGUCACACAGUCACUUACUUUAGCAGGGGGUAAACCAUAAAGAUAAUGAUAAUAAAGUAUAAGUUCAUGGGUAGAUAGCACAGCGAUUAGAAAAUAGACUACUCCUCAUAUAUGUAGGUGAUGUCGGAUUAGCUAGAGAAUGGAUUCUAAGUUAUCUACUAACUACUAAGUCAUAAUCUACUCUAGUUAUCUACAAGAUCAUAUAUAGCAUAAAAGACUCUUCAUUCAUGUAUAAGGAACAUUGAUAAAGUAAAUCAGAACAUCGCAUGACUUACUCCACAAUACCGGUUCUGCCUGUCCUAUCAACGGAGGGUGGACUAUAUAAGAAUCAACGAAGCUGUCACUAUCGCGAACUACCACACGACUCGGCCAAUAGGAUACAUUUGCGUAUAAAUAAGAUCUAAGCACCACGCUCACAUGUGAUCUAUCACUUAACUCCCUCACGUCAAGAGCUAAGCGCUUUGCCAACUUAUACAUAAACUCAUUAUCAAUUAGAACUAUAUCAAAUAUAGAACUAGAGCAAACUAAGAACAUAAUAAUUAGAGACAUAAUGCAAUUAGAACAAUAGAAUUAGAGAAAGAUAUGAAUAAUACCAAUCUUUAUUACCGAAGAUCCGAAUCCAGAGCGUAGUGCUCUACUUCUCUAAUUGCUAUCUAAUCAAACCUCUAAACUUGAAGGAUUAGGGAGUAGCUAUUUCUAAUUCUUUGUGGGAGAGAAGCUCUAAACCCUAACUUUGAUGGCUACCUCUAAAUAAUGAUUUCUCCUUCUCUCCUCCAGGGGCCAGGGGGUCUGGUUUUAUAGUCCCCUCAAGUGAACGUGAGCCAUUGGAUCAAACCGACAUAGAUUGUAUGGUUUAGAUUGAUCCUUUAGGUCGGUGGAGAGUUGUCCCGAAGCAGAGUCCUGGUUGGCUUCCUGGCCAGGGCGGGCGCCCAAGGGGGGUGGGCGGCCGCCCAGCUCCCGAGCCCGAAUCGCGUCCCGUUCAUUCCCGUGGCUUCUGGAUCCUUCUAGAUUGAGGAAAAUUGCGCGGCACGUAAUUAUCUCGUUGUAAACAUGACAUGUGGGCCUUCUCUCCAUAUUUUCUGAUAAACCCCUGCAGAAAUAGAUAAACACCAAAACUCGUGGAAUUCUGUCAGAUAAAACCCUAAUUCUAGAUGUUUGUUUCAUAUUGAUCCUUUUUCAUGUUUAUUUGAUUAUUAAUUUUAGUACUUAAGGACCGUCAACAGUGACGACCUCGUCGAGGCUUACGUAGAUGAUGUUGUCGUCAAAAUAAGGGAUGCGAGCACUCUGAUCGACAACCUAGACCGAACUUUUAAGGCACUGAAUAAAUACAAGUGGAAUCUUAACCCCAAAAAGUGUAUCUUUGGGGUUCCCUCUGGACUGCUACUCAGCAACAUCGUCAGCCGCGACGACAUAUGGCCGAAUCCUUCAAAGGUUAAGGCAGUGCUCGAUAUGCGACCACCCAAGAAUGUCAAGGAUAUUCAAAAGCUCACCGGAUGUAUGGCCGCUCUCAGCCGGUUUAUCUCUAGACUAGGAGAAAAAGGCCUUCCUUUCUUCAAACUUCUAAAGGCGUCGAAAAAAUUCUCCUAGACAGAGGAAGCUAAUGCUGCGUUCACCCAGCUCAAAACUUUCCUCACCUCACCACCCGUCCUCACAGCACCUCAACCUAACGAGGACUUGCUCCUUUACAUAGCAGCAACCGAUCGGGUUGUCUCCACGGCAAUGGUGGUCGAGCGGGACGAGCCAUGCCACGUCUACAAAGUCCAGAGGCCUGUUUACUUCAUAAGUGAAGUCUUAAACGAAUCCAAGACCAGGUAUCCUCAGAUACAAAAGUUAAUCUAUGCCAUCCUGAUAACCACCAGUUUCCCUCUGGGGACAUUUUGCGCAACAAGGACGCCAAUGGCAGAAUUGUGAAAUGGGCAAUGGAAUUAUGCCCAUUCUCCCUAGAUUUCUAGAGUCGCACUACCGUCAAGUCCCAGGCCCUGGUGGACUUCAUCGCGGAAUGGACGGACCUCAACGAGCCCUCCCCUCCGGAUACCUCCGACCACUGGUCAAUGUUCUUCGCCGGUUCCCUAAACAUCAAUGGCGCUGGUGCCGGGAUACUUUUUGUAUCGCCAAACAAUGACAAACUCUGCUAUGUCCUUAGGAUUCUCUUCCUGGCAUCUAACAACAUCGCCAAAUACGAAGCAUGCUUGCAUGGCAUCCGACUGGCUGUCGAACUGGGAGUCAAGCGUCUUUACGUCCACGGUGACUCCGCCCUGGUCAUCAACCAGUUAAAUAAGGAAUGGGACACAACUCACGAGAAGAUGGACCUCUACUACAAAGAAAUCCGGAAAUAGGAAUCCAAUUUUUACGGCAUCGAAUACAUCCACGUGAUCCGGGACAGGAAUCAGGCAGCAGACGCGUUGUCGAAGAGGUGUAUUUGAAAGUCAGCAGCAUUCUGACAGCGAUUAGAAUGUCCUCCGUCUGCUAGUCUUCUUGAUUCUUAAAUUCUGUGGAGCUCAAAUAGACAACAAAGCUUGUGGAACUAAUUAAGUGUUAGCAUAAAUAUCUAGCCUUCAUCACGUUGAGCUUCCUCAAUAAAUAUUACUCCCUGUUUUUAUAUUUUUAUUUUAUAAAGUAGAAAAGAAAUAUUUAUUUUAUUUUUAUGCCACCACAGUGAAGGUACUUAUGGGUUUUAUGCCACUCGUAUACUCACAUGGGGCUUAGUAUUUUUUAACAUUUUUAUUUUCUUUUCAAGAUAGCAUGAUUAACUAAUAAUCUAUUUAAGGAAAGUAAAUAAUUAAAUGGAAAAGGGAAUGCAGAAAGGAUAAAUAUGGAUAACUACCAAUCUUACCUUUCGGCGAGGGUUCAAUGUUUUAAGUCUUCUUGUCAAGACUUCUCAUCGUGUUCAUUCUUCAGGUGCGUCAUUUGAUUCAGGUGCGGACCUUGACGUCUGCACCUUUUAAUACGGUGUCACCCAUGUUCUUUGUUUGCCCAGCAGUUCGAAGUGCGGUGUUAGCAGUAUCUUGCUCAGUGUGUUUGUGCUCGUAGUGUACCUGCUCAUAGAGACAAGGCAGAGAUCAAGUGCAUAGGCCCUGUUGGUGGAAAACACCAACAGAACCAAAAGUGUAUUUGUUCUUCUCUAACCUUAAGCAUAGUGAGCAAGACAAGUUGAUGGAUGAUAAGUUCAUGAGUGUAGCACUUAUAACAUUUGUCAGAUCAGAUCGCUCAACCUUAUGGAAAGAUAAUCUAUCUAUGUAUAUGUAUUUUUCUUUAUAUCUCUCAAUGAUUGAAUGUGUAACAUUUUAGCUCAUAUGAUUAGGAGUGUGGGAUCAUGGAGGUAGUACUAAGAACAAGGAUUAAAGGACUAAACAUGUUGAAUCAGUUGGGUUGGUUAAUCUAGAGUUGUAAAUCAUACACGUUUGUCUCUUUUAUUUAUAUGAACGCCAGAACCAAGGAGAAGCUUAUAAAAGUGAUAGUCAAGUACCUUAAGAUGUUACCUUGCUCGAAGAGUGAUGGUACGGUAUCAUCUUGUGGAAGCUUUCCUUUCUUAGCAGUUGUGCAUCGUGUUUGUGGCACCCUCCAUGGAUCAUCUCUCUAUGAUGAAUGAGCUAUGUCCUUCUUGUGCAAAUUGUUAAACUUCAUGUGUUACUCUCUUCGUCUCUGAUGUGAGUUUAUCUCAGGACUUCCCAAAUCGAUAUUGAAAGUUUUUCUGCAGGGGUUAGUCCGACAAAAAUAUACCAAUGUCUACGCAAGCAGUUUUUAGUUCAAUAACCGAACUAGACUCCAUGUCUAAUCAGAUUAAGGAAGGCUAUUUAACCUAAGCACCAUGCUUAAUUUAAAUGCCAAUGGAAGUAUGGCGAGUACUUCCAAACCAACACUUGCUAAUAAAUAGACAAGGUAGCAUGACAGCGUUUAUAGAGAUCUACUCAAGUGGAGAUGAAGUAGUGUGAUUAGUAUUUAACAAAUUGAGCAUGUCUCAAAGGUAGGGACAACCAGCAUAGCAACAUGGCAAAGGAUGUUUUUAUGUAAAGUACUCCCCAAGCUUGAAUUUUGCAAAAUUCAAGUUUGGAUGAAUAGAUGAUUGGUUGGACAUACCUUGUGCUUGUCAUUCAUCUGAUCUUCUUGCUCCAAUCCUAGAAAGGUUAGUGACAAGAAUACCUGAAGGAAUAUUUUUUUUUACAAUUAUCCUUAUAUGCAUAAUACACAAGGUAAUGUUACAAAUAAUUAAAGGCUCAUGUUACGAUCUGAUCAAUGCUUAUUUUAAGACACUAAGCUUGUCCUUGGGAAACCAUCAGUUUACGUUGGCAAAGUGGUUUCCCCUCCGACGCCAACAUAUAUCUAGAUCAACUCAACGAGAUCUGCAAUAUUUAUUAUAGACAUAUGCAUCGACAACUGCCCUUUUAAAGUUUUUAUAAAUAGAAAGGAAGAGGGGGUUGGAGAUCUCAAGUGUGGUGAUGUCGGAGAGACCAAUAGAUUGGGAAGAUGUUGCAUAUGAGCAUGGAGUAAACGAAGUGGCUAUGAAAUAAAUUCCAUGCUCAUUAAUGUUAUCUUCGUCUCCAAUCUGAAUGUUCGGAGUUUCUCCUGGAUUGGUCUCACCUAUGUCCUCUUCUGUAGUUGGAUGAAUCUCAUCUUCAAAGCGAGUCAAGAACUCACCAUUUGAAAUUGAGCCAAAGUCAGAACCCAUUAAGGCUUCUUCCUUAUCCAUCCAUUCUACACAUUCUAGCCAUUUAGAACUUGUGAUCAAAAUAGGGGAGGUGUUAGAAUUUUCUAUAUGGCUUAGCUCUCCUUCUAUGACAUUACUUGACAUGCCAUCCUUAUGGUCUUCAUGACUCCUAUGGUUUGGUCGUCUUGGUGAAUUGCUAGGAUCAUCAUGAGACUGAAAAGAAGAGGGAUAAGAGGGAUCUCUAAGGUCAAGGAUGGAUUUAGAACUUGUGAACAUGGAAGGGGAGUAGGUAGAAUUGUCUAUAUGGCUUAGCUCUCCUUCACUUGAUAUGUCAUCCUCGACUUAUUCGUGAUAGGAACCAGGACAUUCUCUAAGAGAAACAUUAUUGCAAUGAUUUGAAUUAUCCCUGCUUGAAGGUCUCUUAUAGAACCAGAAGUCUAAACCAUCAGCAUCUAAAAGAUUUAAGGUCGGAAUUCCUUCCUCCCUUGGAGAAUUUUGGGGUAUUGAUGGUUUAGGAUCGAUAGCUAAAGUUUGGGAUUGAAGUGGUUGUGAUCUGGCUAUCGAAACUUCUUCUUCUUGUCUAGGAACUGGUUCUUUCUCUUUCUCAGGGAUAUAAAAGCUAGGAGACUUUCUGCUCAUUAAAUCAAUCAAAUUCCAAGCUUCACUAGCGGAUAGGUGGUGGAAAGAUCCUCCAGAGGCCGCAUGAAGGGUUUGCUUAUUUUUCCUACUAAGGCCCUCAAAAAAGGGAAUUAGAAGAACUUCUUCUGGAAUAGAAAGUUUUGGGCCAGUGAGAGUAAGGUUAAUAAAGCGGUCCCAUGAUUUGCCAAGAGAUUCUUCUUCCAGUUGUCUAAAAGAAAGAAUCUCACGCCGAAGUUCCACCACUUUGGAGAUUGGAAAAUAUUUAGAAAGAAAACUACUAUAUAACUCCUUCCAAUCUCCAUGAACACUCCCUACUUUGAGUUUAUACCAAUGUCUAGCUUUUCCCGUUAAAGAGAACGGAAAGAGCUUCCAUUUAAGGGUCUCAUCGGACAUGCCUUCUAUGCGAAGGAGGUCACAGACUCGAUAAAACUCUCUUAGGUGUGUGUAUGGGUUUUCCUCACCUUCGCCUGAGAAAGGUUGUUUUUGAAUAAAUUCUAUGUAUUCGGGGUCUAUCUCAAAACUAGAUGCUAUGAUAGGCUUUGAAGAUUUUGGUGGUUCGAGAUGUGUGCCCGUAGGUCUAUGAAAUUCAUAGAUAGACAUGUUUGAAUUCAUGAUAGACCGGAGAUCAAGGAUUAGAUAAGAAGAAAGAAUAGCAGAGAUGAGGCAAAGGAUAAAAGGAAAAAUAUAUAUUUAUUUUUAUUAUUUUUUUUUUGAAAAUGAUUAAGCUAGUUCGUAGUCAACUCAGCAACCGUUUCCCCGGCAACGGCGCCAAAAAUGCUUGUUGACACUUGCUAACACCACUUGAAUACUAGGUUGUCAUCCCCAGCGUGGCACUAGAGUGUACUAUGGUAUUUAUACGCACACAGAUAAUCCGCAAGCGCACGGAUACCGUUGAAGCUUUUACCCGGUUAAAGGUUUUAUCGUAUCCACAGGGAAACGGGAGAACCAACUACGCUCUAACUCAACCAAGAUAGAUAGAUAAGUGUAAAUAGGAAAGAUGGUAGAAUCGAAUAAGAACAAUAUUAAAGGUAAGAUAACAGUGAGUGAUAAUAUGAGAAUAUAGAGUAGAGCAAUUCUAGUAUAUGGGCGAUGGUAGCAGAAUAGAGAGGAUAACUAUGUUUCUCUACUUCAAAGGGGUAUGUCUAUGUCUGGGACGAACCACGUGAUAAGAGUACACCACAAAGGAUGCUUAUCCAUAGGCCGAUAAACCCUACCCGUCCUGCUAACGAGAGGUGGACUACAGGGGACCAACGUAACUGUCACCUACGCGGCCUACCACACGAUCCAGCUAGUCAGGGGAUAUCCACAAGUAAUCUAGGUCUAAGCACCACGCUUACACCUAUACUACAACUCUAACCUAUAGGGUCCUAUAGAUUAGAAGUACUCAAAAGAGUUGUGAACCAGAACAUACAUGAUUAGUAAUUGCAUAAUGAAUUAGAAGUAGAUUACCAGAGUCAUCCCAUGAGCAAGCUUGAUUAGAGCUUGAUCAUGGCGAAGUACAACCGGAGGAAGAACCGACAGGCCGGCCUCUCCUCUAAUCCUCCUUCGCUCUCCAUCUCACUACUAUCUAGAUCUACUCUAGUUUAGAGAAGAGAGGAGAGCUCUCAUCUCUAAACCCUAGCUUUUGCUCUGUCUAUGAAUAAUGAAUAAUGAUCAAGGGGGUUGCCUCCUCCAGGGGGUCUGGUUUUAUAGUCCCCUCAAGUGAACCUGGGCCGUCGGAUCAAACCGACAUUGAUUGAACGGUUAUUCUUGAUCCUUUAGGUCGGUGGAGCAUAAUCCGCGAGGUUGAACGUGAUUGGCCACUGUAGCAGGGCGGGCGCCCUAAGGACUUGGGCGGGCGCCCAGGUCCUGGCUCCGUUCGGUCUCCGCUUCCUUCCCGUGGCUUCUGGAGUCUUCUAGAUGUAAGAUAAUUGCGCGGCACGUUGAUAUCUCUAUGUAAUCCCGACGUGUGGGCCUUUCUUCCUUAUUUCCUGAUAACCCCCUGCAGAAAUAGAUAAACACCAAAACUCGUGGAAUUCUGUCAGAUAAAACCCUAAGUCUCGAUGUUGAUUUCAUUUGGAUCCUUUUCUUUGUUUAUUUGAUAGUUAAAUUUGAUACUUAAGGACCGUCAAUAACCAAGCCAGGAGUGAGUAUACACACGGGAAAAGCAGAGUUGUGUAGUCAAAAAGGGCAAGACGGCUCUUACCAGCCAACUCCCGAUUCUUGUUUUUCAGCUCCUCGCCAGCAUGGCGCCCGGACUCCAGUGCGCCGGCAACCUCCUGGUCGAGCCGCUCCCUUUCUUGUCGGAGGCGCUCAACCUCCUCUUCCAGAUCUGCAGAAGUAAUCUCUGGUCAACAAAAUUGACCACGCAGUUAAAUACAACUGCUCGGAACGCACGACUUACCUCUCUUUUCCCGAUCCUUGUCGACUAGUUGCCGAUUGAGAUCGAGCAGGCACGCUUCUUGCGCCACCCUCUCGGCUGCCUUCUCCUCGGCAUCUGACCGGAGGCGGUCCACCUCCGCAGUUAGGGCCUUAUUCUUGGCCAUGAUCCCUUCAAUUUGGUCGAAGCACCUUUUUGGGUACUUCGCCGUUUUCGUUGCGCCCUGCAAGAAUUACAUGUAUCGUGAAGCAAACAAAAAAUAAAAUAUAAACACUUUGGAGAAACACAAGACCACCUACCUUGACUUCAUCAACAAGCCGCUUGGCAGCGCGCUCUACCCUCGCCGACUCCUCGGUCUCGGCGGGUUCUUCGUGACCAAUAAAAUGGUCCCCACGUUGGCGCCAUACGUAAACGUGUUGACGACCAUCAUGAGGACGCCCUUGGAUCUCCUCCACUUCAUCGUUAGAGGCCGCCGGGGCUUCCUCGCCCUCUAUGUUACCUCCGGCCGGGGUAACAGGUAUUAAAGGCUCCUUACCCCGACCAGGCGAACCCUUCGCGCGGAGACGCCUCUGCUCGGGGUGGAGUUGGGGUCCUCCUUUCUUCAGCAGGAGGGGGAGUUGGGGCUCUGUCUUCCUCCUCCGUGACACUGCUCGGGGGAGGCGCCCUCGCAGCAUCGUCACCCCUUGUUGGGGUGCUCCUCUCGGCUCUCGCCUGGGCCGGGACUUCCUCGACAGCCUCUGCCACGGUCACAACCGUGGGCUGCUCUUCGACUUGCCCCUGGGUAGUCUGCUCGGCGGCAUUUUCAACGAUAACCGUUGGCUCGGCCGUUCUCUGGCCAGCGACGUUGUCAGGAUCAACGUCAGACGCCGCACUAACAAAGGACGACAUUAUGCCAAUGUCAAAAUUCACAGCCAAAAAAAAUAUAAAAUAUAGGAGGAAGUGCAGAAGUGAAAUUGUACAACUCACAGGUCGGAGCGCCUGUGCAUCGCUGCGAAGAACCUCCUCCUGGUCCUACCAGUCACCGCUGCUGCCUCUGUCCCCCAAGUCGCGUCGGCUCGGCGUGUGGGGCAGGAGGGUCACUGGUCACCCAACCAGUGGUGAUCGGCGCGACGUCUGGACGAGUGCGUGGCCUUUGGACCAAAGAGGGUGCAGCCUCCUCGUCCUCGUCCUCGUCCUCGUCAUCGGCAAUCCUCACGAGCCGACGACGCUUCGGAGCUUGGCUGGUCUCCGCCGGCAGCGCCUCCAUAGGGGAUGGCUCCACUACCAUUGGCCUUUCCCCCCACCCUAUCCUCGGUGCUCGGGGUAGGGCGGCUCUGUUCCUCCUCACUGCUGGUGUAUUGAGGACACCGAGCAGCAUCGCCCUCGGGCGGGUCCAUCCCCGCAGGAUUCUCCAUACCAGGUGCCAGUGACACAUACACUGCACACCGGUCAAUAUCUCCAAUCUGCAUAAAACAAACGAUAAGUUAUCAAUCAAGAGAUUACAGUGCUCACAUAACAAUGUAACAAUGGUAUUCGUCUACCUUAGGAGCUGGUCGUCCUAGCUUAAAGGCAUGCAUCCGGUCACCACUCCGAACGAAGUUAUCAUCAGACAAAUUGAAUAACUCAUUCAUCAGCUGCUGGACCUCUGCCUUCUCCAGACCAUCCGGACACAUUCUGGUCGGGUCUUGGCUCCCCGUAUACUCAUACGCCGAGUGUACCCUCCUCUGGCAAGGCAUCAGCCGACGCACAAGGAAGUUCCCAAACACUCCUGGCCCGUCUAAACGGGACGAGUCGAUCAGGCUCAUUAGCUCCGCCACUUGCCCAGUGUGCUCUGGACGGUCUGUCCAGCUGACCCUCUUCUCAGGGAUGUAGCCCACAUCGCAGAAUGUGGUACUGCCUGGCUCUUCCUUGAUGUAGAACCACUUCUUGUACCAUUCGGUGAGAGAAGUGUUCCAUGGGCAGUUGAGGUACCGGUUCUUCAUUCUGUCGCGCAGAUUGAGGUAUACUCCACCUGCAAUCUUGGAGCCUCCAACUGCUCCUUUCUUCCUCAAGCAAAAAAGAAAGUGGAAGAGAUCGAAGUGCGGCUCUAUUCCAACAUAGGCCUCGCACAGAUGGAUAAAUGUGGAGAUAAGAAGAAUAGAGUUCGGGUGCAGAUUGCAAAUCCCGAUCUCAUAAUAGAGAAGAAGACCUUGGAGAAAAGGAUGAACGGGAAUCCCAAAACCCCUCUUAAAGAAAUCCUCGAAGACAACAAUCUCACCGGCGCGGGGGUCAGGGUAGCUCUCCCCCUCUGGCGCCCUCCAUCCUCCGAGUUCCUGAUUGUGCAGAAGCCCCUUUCCGACGAGGUCGUUGAGGGAUCUUGUGUUGCUCUGGGACUUCUUCCAUUCCUUGGCCAUCAUCUCGGCUCUCUUCUUGGAAUCGCUCUUCACCAUUUCAUUUCUUGGAAACUUUCAAGCUCGGCUUUGAGGUUUGAAGGUGGGGGGAAAGAUGGUGGCUUAAGCAAUAGUAUGCGAUUGCCUUGUGAAAAACAAGGAUAUGACCCUGAGCUUUUAUAACAACGGCCUCACCUCUAACACUUCUCGUAUUCUUGGGAAGUGGGCAGAUCUGGUGGCGGCCGCGGUGUUUUGGUUCUCAAUAAUUACCGCCGGUUAAUAUGGUGGCUUUUCUGCAUAAUUAAUGGUUUCCUUUUCUUAGACCGCGCAAAAGGCGGCUGCAUAGUUACCAGGCGCACCUUUUUACGCAACCGCGUGACAAUGCACCAGGAUGCCUCGUCACAUUGCGCAUUAAUGCGGCGAGAUGCUUUUUCCAAAAGACAAGUGGAUCUGGUGGAGGACCGGGCAUGACAUGCUUGGGGACUGGUCGACCAGUCUGUUUAUCUGACAUAUCGAUUGACUGCACCGACCACCGAGCAUGUCACGCUCGGGGACUGGUCGUCUAGUCCGCUUUAUUGAUGUCUUGAUAGCUUGUGCUGACCACCGAGCACGAUGGAGCUCGUAACUAUGCUCAGGGACUUGUCCAUCAGUCUCUACGCUGUGCUCGGGGACUGUACCGACCACCGAUCAUUAUAUGCUCGGGGACUGGUCGACCAGCCCUCCCAUUUGAAAUUUUGGGGACUAUACCGACCACCGAGCAUGUUUACGUUCCCAACCAUACUCGGGGACUGGUCGAUCAAACUCUAUGCCGUGCUCAGGGACUGUGCUGACUACCGAUUGUUCUCGUAGACUCAUCAAUCACUCCCUGCGCUGAGCUCGGGACUCCCUUCGGUCACUCUGAGACCACAGCUUGGGGACUGCUUUUUUAUCAAGUUGCAUAUGAAUUGGACUGGAUAAUUUUUUAGACCUUGCUACAAGGUUCAUACUUCGCCUUCCAGCAAGCUGGACUACAUCGGUACGAUGCAUCUGAUGAUGCAUCUCAAUUUUAGAAUUUCCAUAAAGACUUUUUUGAGCGUGGCACCACGUGCCUACGUCACCUACUACCAGGCUCGGGGACUAAGUGGGCACACUUCACCUUGCGGUGAACAUGCUUGCUUUUUGAAAGUCCAUACUUUUCAGAAAAGUAAAGUGGGCACACUUCACUAGGAAAGAAAUCUCUUUUAUUUGAGAGCACCAUGCAUUCUUCGAACAACCUGCUUCUUCGACGAUAUCGAAGUUGAUCAACUGAUUUUUUGAGUUGGACAAAAUACCGUUGCAACUGUUCGGGCGACUUUCGUGCUGGUCGAAGAAGCUCAAGACGGUGUGUUACAUCACAACACAUGGUGCUCGGGGACUAGCUGUGGGGGUAUAAACCCCUAUACCCUUACGGCUAGACUUGGGCCAGGAGGCUUGGCCCAUCACGAAACAGUUCGAGGCUUGAUCCAACUGCUCGGAUUUUCGCGCAAGGAAACAAGAUGUGGAGAUCAAGCAGGAUUCUAGUCGGUUAGAAUAGGAAUCGAUAUAGUACUAUCUAUGGCAAUUGUAACCGACUAGGAUUAGUUUCCAGAUUUGUAACCCUACCCUCUGGACUAUAUAAGGAGAGGCAAGGGACCCCCUAGACAAUUCAUCUCAUCUCAACACAAUUCAAUACAAUCAGACGCAGGACGUAGGUAUUACGCCCAUACGGCGGCCGAACCUAGAUAAAAACCUUGUACGUGUCUUGCGUCACCAUCAAGUUUGUAGCUUGCGCACCGUCUACCGAUAAACUACUACCGUGGGUAUACCCUAAGGUAGACUGCCGACUAUCUUUCGUCGACAAUUACUAUGUAUGGAUGUAACAUGUUAGUGGUUGUGAUCUUAAACUUAGACUCCCUCCUAUACCAAAUUUAUGAAUACAAUUAGUACAGAGAAAAAUGAACUAGUAGCAAUGUAGUUUAUCCACAAAAUAAACUCCAACAAGCGCCAUUGCCAUUCCAUGACCCAAAUAUUACACACUUGCCUACGAUCAUUCCAGUUAGCUCCAAUGAGCUAUAAGUACUAGUAACAUGAACAACUGGUAUUCCAAUGAGCUCCACCUAGCUAUAUAUAUAGUCAGAAUAGUAGCACGAGCACUCAAUUGCAUUACAGUUGUUGGUGCAAAAGCUGAUCUGCAAACACAAAUGGCUAAUACCCGAUUCAAAUGUUAAGGCGUGGCAGCCGAUUUGACCUUACUAUCGGCAAAGGUGGUAACUUGAAUACUUUGGUCCUGACAACAGCGAUGCGCCCGGAUGUCACGGCCAAGAGGUACUCACGCGGAACUCGAGAAUACGCCGAGCUUAAGUCGACGAAUUCCUAAGAACUCGUAAUGAAAAGAAAAAAGUAUGACGAAGUCGUCGAAAGGUAGAUGCUAGAAUAUGAGUAAAAACUUGUGUUUGAUUGAUUGAUAGAUGUCUCAUUACAAGGCCCUAGGGUCUAUAUUUAUACCCAGCUUAAAGAGCUACAACCAGACACGACUAGAACUCGAAUUCCAAAUUACACAGAAUCCGUAUACAAAACGAUUUAAAUAACUAAGGAAAACAUAAAACUAUCCCCCCGUGACAAACUGGAACACCUCCAUAGACCGAUCGGCAGCUUCCAGACUGUCUCUCUAUAUCAUCGGCAGACUCCCUUGUCAUAGUCAUCGGCAGACUUCCUUGUCGUAGCCAUCGGCACAGACACAUCACCACUUAUGGACUUAGUCACGUUCAACCCCUCCUCCAUCGGCAACCAUCCUCAUCGGCAACUCAUCCUGUAGAUUAAACCCGCUGUCUUAUCUUGCCGGCCUAUACUUCACCAAACAUGGACACGUGCCCAAAAACGGCGUCAACACAUGCCCCCCAAUUUCGGAGUGUGAAGUCAUUAAUGCUCCGAAAUUCUCUGCAGUAAUGAUGCCCUUUUCCGCAAUUAAUGCUCCUAAUCUGGUAACCGACAACCUCAACCUGAACAACUCUGAUCCGAUUCUUUUGCAGAUUCCUCGAAAUCCUCAACUUCCCAAACGGGCAUUUCCAUUUUAGUCACACAUCGGCAAUAUUACCGUUACAAAGACUUGCCGAUGGACUGACCAGGACGUUCGCACCUUAUCUUCCCAAACGGCUAUCUCCACUUUAUUCGCUCAUCGGCAAUAUGACCGUUACAAAGACUCUGCCGAUAGACCGACCAGGAGAUCCCGCACAGUAAAAUAUCUCUGGAUAAUGACCACUUCCUGUCAAAUCACCUGCACAAUCCCUUGAUUACCGUGCGAACAGUUACCAUAUCUACCUAAGCACCCUCGGAUUUCAUGGAUGCGGCAAAGAGAUAAGUCAGAUUUGCCCUUGCCCGUUUUGUCCUAUAAAUAGUUCCUUCUCGGGUACUCCUUCUCCAUCACAUCAUUCCACAACUCCAACUUCACUUUCCCGGCGGCGGCGCUGUCCAAAAGCUCCAAGAUCUUCGACGAAGUCCCUUCUUCACCACCUCCAAAGCUCUCAAACAUCUUCUCCGUGGUAAAAUGGCCGUCAACUUCAUCGUUCCUGAGGUCAGUCCUUUGCGCCAUCUGUUGUACUUUUCCUCGCACCCCUGUUCAUCCACAAUCCAUCUUACUGAACAUUUUCUCUUUUUUUUGUUUUUCUUUUCCAUCUCCAAAACCACUAGGAAUUGGCUAACAAAAUUGUCAUCCCCACCGAUCAACCACACCUCCAAUGCCUUGGCCCGCUAGGGGAUCCAGAUCCAACCAACCUCAUAAACGCAGAAACCAACAGGAUCCCUUUUAGAGCAGAGAAUUUUUCUUUGGAUCUGUGGAAGGAUACGUUUCGUUCCCAGUCUAGCCCUACCGUGGCGUGGAAGGAUUGGUUCUUGAGGGUCAGCAACUCCAAUGAAGUCUAGUGGGGCGAGAGAAAGUUAGACCAAUGCAUUAGGUUGUCCAUUGCCGAUAUGCAUAAGAAUGAAUCACUGUUGAUAGCUGCAUCUUAUUUCUGGUCAGACACCCUCAAUGCCUUUGUCUUUGGCCAUGGCCCUGCUUCCCCUACACUUGCCGAUGUAGCCAUGCUCACUGGCCUGGAUGUAUCUUCUGCCGAUAGCACCCACUUCUUCGAUACCAAACCCAGUGCUAAGGUAGAAACUCGCACCAUCGGCGGCUAGUUGGGGUAUAUCCAAAAAUACCGCAAAACAGGCUCUGUUAACAUAAAAGAGCAAACCUGCUUCCUGAACAUGUGGCUAGACAAAUUCGUGUUUUCUGGCCGAUCGGCAGGACCAACUUCUGUUUAUCUAGUAGCAGCAGAAAAUCUGGCCAAUGGUGGCCGAUUUCCCCUCGGCCGAUACCGGCUUGGAGCAGCCUAUCACCUCCUCCACCAAUGAACUAGGAAGCUCUUGCUUAGCCAGUCCAUCGGUAAUCUGGGAGGUCCCUGGUGGUUCAUUAACAUGUGGCUCAGCCUCGACAUGCACAAGCGUCUGGAGUUCAAUCUCUUUGCACAGCGCUUUCCAAGGGACAUAGCAUAGAACCAUGUGCUGGGUGAAGAAGAAUCGGCAACACGCCCUCCCUUGAACUUCGGUGAAGCUGUCAUAGUUCUGCCUGGCACAGGGGGUAAUCCAGAUCAGGUUAGCCGAUUCUUCCAAACCUUGUACGAAGGUUUGGCCAGAGAUGAGCGAGCAUGGUUAGCUUAUGAUGACCCAAACACCGUGUUUCCUCUGGUUUUCAACCCGUUCGACGAUGCUCUUGAUAAGGACAAUGAAGUAAUGAUGGCAUUGGUGACUCCCAGAGCCAUACCAGUGAACUUCUUUGGCAGUGGAAAAACCUCUCCCUAGACUUAUGAGUUUUACAAUCCAUCGGCACUAGCUCGUCAGUUAGCUUUCGGCCAGCUGCCGAUUGCACUCUGCUAUGCCGAUGUGAUAAAGCCCAGGGAAACCAUCACCAGUCUCCUUGAAUGGAUUCGAGUAGCCCAACUGCCAUCGAGUGCCGAUACAGAUGUAAACUUAUCGGAGUGGGUUCCAGCUGCCUUCAUCACCCAGGCGUACAAGCAGUGGUGGGCAGAAUGGAAGGAGCAUCUAUUCAGCAAAUCAGCCCUCACGUACCGCGGUAUGAUCGACCCCGAGUACAAAGUCCCCGAUGAUACUGUAAGUGUCCUUAAACCAAUGUUCCAAUUCUUCCAAUUUCAUUUUCAUCGGUAAUUUACUUUUGUAUUAUUUUGCAGGUCGAUAACACCCCUCCAUCGGUCAGUAGAAGUGGCAAGCCGAUUGAUCUGUCUGCAUCAGGUCCAAUUUCUUCAAUCGGCCACAACGCUCCUACCCUGGCCGCCAUCGUGCACUGAGGCAUACGCCUCAAGAAAGUCACUACCAGGAGAACCCAAACAUCACCAUCGGUAGCUGCUUCCACCCUAGCACAGGCUUUUAAGGUAACUGUUUAAAACUCUUUAUUCAUAUCGAUCUACCUUUGCACAUCGGCUACAUUGGUAUUCACAAACUCUCUUUUCUGUGAUAGCAAACCAGUGCAUCGGCAAGAACUAAAAGCCAAGGUGCCGAUGCCCCCCAGUCCAGCUAGCAGAAGAGAAAAGGUGCCAAGAGUACCAGGGCACAAACCAAGCGCCAGAAAGUGGCAACUCCUCCUUCGGUAUCUCCUAUUCCGGUGGAAUCCUCUCCUUCUCCCCAAGAAACAGAGACUCAGCAAGUACCAUCUCCUCAACCGCAAGAAGCGCCGCAAGCGGAAGAAUUUCAGCAAGAAGAACCUCAACUAGAAGCACCCCAGCCAGAAGACACAUCAGCCGAUGUAGGCGAGCAAACCGCUGAUCCGGCAGGUUCAAUCAUAUCAUCAGUAGUCUCUUCAAUCCAGACAAGCAUCGUCCCUCCUCAAGGUAACACAUUCCUAUAACAGUACUACCGAUGAACUUAUUCUUUUUGGUAUUAUAACCCCUUCUGUUAAUUUGCAGCUGACGUAGUUCCAUCGGCAACUCUGGCCGAUCAACCCAUGGCUCCAUCGGCAUCUUCGAGUCAGAGGCGAGAGAUAGCCUUGAAGCAAGUAAGCCAUCCAAUCUCAAUCAAUACUAUUUGCCGAUGCUCUGAUCAUAGAAUAACUCACUUUGUUUUUCUUUUUAGGAACAAGAUUCUCCCGAUAGCCUAUUCUCCUUUGCUAUUGAUAUCUCCGAAGACGAAGGUGAGGAAGCAAGUUCCUCCCAGGCAGUUGAGAUUAUAUCGACAGAGAUCAGGGCUAAGCUGGAAGAACUAUUGGCCCUCCUUCAUCAAGACACGGCUCAACUGGUCGAUGACUCUGAUCCGGCCAAGGUUCUGUUCAAGACCCUCAGAGGCCAGAUUCCUGCCGAUGCCGAAGAAAUCCUUUUUCAGGCCGCACAUGUGGAGAGUCGUCAGCUGCAGUACCAGAGGGCCGUCCGGCGUCUUGCUGAUAGAGCUGCUCAAACCCGGCUCUCUGAGGAGAUGAUGAAAGAGAAGCUCCUGACCGAUGAACAACACAAGAGCAUCGGCGCCUUGAAGUCUUCGAAAGCUACACUGAAACAGAAGAUCUCCGACUUAUCGGCCAAGAGAGAAGCCCUGCUGGCAGAACUCAAACAAGUGGAGGACGCUCUAUCUCAAGCCCGACGGGAGGAGAGUGAACUGCCAGAGACCAUCAAACUCCUUGAACAAGAACGGAAUGCCCAUGGUCGCAAAGCACUGCAGCUGAAGAAGAAAUUGAAGCCGAUAGAAGGUUCUGCCAAUGAAGAUGUCAAGGAGAUAGAAGCAGCCAACCAGAUCCGCCUACGUGCCAUAUCGGCCAUCCAAGCACUGCUAACCAUGUGAGCUUUUCAUCGGCAACACGCCUGUCUCCUCUUACUCUUCAGCCUUCUUGAUGUUUAGUCUAGCCGAUAGGACUGUUAUCGGCAUCUUUUGAAACAUUAAGUCGUGCCCCAAACAUUUUAAUCCAGCCGAUAGGAGUGUUAUCAGCAUUUAAACUUUUAUGCAUCGACCCAUAUGCUGGGGUAGUACUUCUUUAAAUACUUGCCAUUUAAUGCUCUGGGAAAUCCAACUGAUUCGAGAGUUUCUAGAAUAUAGGCGUUACCAGGAGCCGAUCGACUUAUCCGAUAGGGACCCUCCCAAUUAGGAGACCACUUUCCAAACUUCGAACUUUUAGUCCCGAUCGGUAAAAUUAAUUUCCAUACCAAGUCUCCAUCAGCAAACUACUUAGCCUUCACCUUUUUGUCAUACCAUCUAGCAACUCUCUUCUUAUUUUCUUCUAUACUCAUUAAAGCCUUUAACCGAUGUCCUGCUAGAUCAUCUAACUCAUCGGUAAUCAAAGUGACAUAAUCAUCGGCAGCCAAUUGAUCUUGAAAAGAUAGUCGCCUAGAUCCAGCCUUAAUUUCCCAAGGUAACACUACAUCAUGUCCAUACACCAACUGAUAAUGUGAAACCUUGGUCGACCCAUGACAAGCCAUUCGAUAGGACCAUAAAGCUUCAUUUAACAACGUGUGCCACCUUCUAGGAUUUUCUUCAAUCUUCCGCUUAAUAAGCUUAAUAAUUCCUUUGUUAGACGCCUCGGCCUGCCCGUUGGCUUGAGCAUAGUAAGGAGAAGAAUUCAACACUUUAAUCCCCAUACCGAUUGCGAAUUCAUCAAACUCCCCUGAUGUAAACAUAGUGCCCUGAUCGGUAGUAAUUGUUUGAGGAAUCCCAAAUCGGUAAAUAAUAUGCUCCUUCACAAAAUCAAUCAUAUUAGCCGAUGUGACUUUCUUCAAAGGAAUAGCUUCAACCCGUUUAGUGAAAUAACCAGUGGCAACUAGGAUAAACUUAUGCCCUGUUGACACUAGCUAACACCACUUAGAUACUAGGUUGUCAUCCCUAGCAUGGCGCCAGAGUGUACAAAGGUAUUUAUAAAUGUAAAGGCUCUCUAGAAAAUAAUCUAUUCUAUCCGCAAGCGCACAGAUAAAACACCUCAUUGUAGCAUUUCACCAGGAUAAGUAUUCCAGGUAUCGUUAUUUAUAAUUUUGCUUAGGGGAUCUUAAGAAGAUGGAAUUAAAUCAAAGGGGCAAAAUCUAUCAAGGCAUAAACUAAAGAUAAACUUGCAAGAACAUGAUUACUAAUGAGAAACUCGUCACAUAGUCACAUACUUAAGCAGGGGGUAAACCAUAAAGAUAAUGAUAAUAAAGUAUAAGUUCAUGGGAUAAAGAGCACAGCGAUUAGAAAAUAGACUACUCCUCAUAUAUGUAGGUGAUGUCGGAUUAGCUAAAGAAUGGAUUCUAAGUCAUCUACUAACUACUAAGUCAUAAUCUACUCUAGUUAUCUACAAGAUCAUAUAUAGCAUAAAAGACUCUUCAUUCAUGUAUAAGGAACAUUGAUAAAGUAAAUCAGAACAUCGCAUGACUUACUCCACAAUACCGGUUCUGCCUGUCCUAUCAACGGAGGGUGGACUAUAUAAGAAUCAACGAAGCUGUCACUAUCGCGAACUACCACACGACUCGGCCAAUAGGAUACAUUUGCAGAUAAAUAACAUCUAAGCACCACGCUCACAUGUGAUCUAUCACCUAACUCCCUCGCGACAAGAGCUAAGAGCUUUGCAAACUUAUACAUAAACUCAUUAUCAAUUAGAACUAUAUCAAAUAUAGAACUAGAGCAAACUAAGAGCAUAAUAAUUAGAGACAUAAUGCAAUUAGAACAAUAGAAUUAGAGAAAGAUAUGAAUAAUACCAAUCUUUAUUACCGAAGAUCCGAAUCCAGAGCGUAGUGCUCUACUUCUCUAAUUGCUAUCUAAUCAAACCUCUAAACUUGAAGGAUUAGGGAGUAGCUAAUUCUAAUUCUCUGUGGGAGAGAAGCUCUAAACCCUAACUUUGAUGGCUACCUCUGAAUAAUGAUUUUUCCUCCUCUCCUCCAGGGGCUAGGGGGUCUGGUUUUAUAGUCCCCUCAAGUGAACGUGAGCCAUUGGAUCAAACCGACAUAGAUUGUAUGGUUUAGAUUGAUCCUUUAGGUCGGUGGAGCGUAGUCCCGAAGCAGAGUCCUGUUUGGCCUCCAACCCUGGGCGGGCGCCCAAGGGGGGUGGGCGGGCGCCCAGCCCCCGAGCCCGAAUCGCGUCCCGUUCGUUCCCGUGGCUUCUGGAUCCUUCUAGAUGGAGGAAAAUUGCGCGGCACGUAAUUAUCUCGUUGUAAAUAUGACAUGUGGGCCUUCUCUCCAUAUUUUCUGAUAAACCCCUGCAGAAAUAGAUAAACACCAAAACUCGUGGAAUUCUGUCAGAUAAAACCCUAAUUCUGGAUGUUUGUUUCAUAUUGAUCCUUUUUCAUGUUUAUUUGAUUAUUAAUUUUAGUACUUAAGGACCGUCAACAAACUCCCCCAAGCUUACCCUUUGCUCGUCCCUGAGCAAAUAGCUAAACUCAGACGGAUCAGAAGUUGCUUCGAUGUUUUCUUUCCUGACAGGCACACAUGCUUUUACAUAAAAAUUCUUCCAGAUUAGAGUGAAGUGUUAUGAAGUUUAGUACCUGCACUUAAGUCUUAAGUAAUCGAAAGACAAAAUAGUUAAGUCAAGCACUAUCCCUCCUGUCUAUACUUCACCUUUGUUCUAGAGUUUUUCAUAAGUUUUCAAAAUAAAACUCAGAGUUCCUAGCAAUGAUUCUCUCAAGUCUCUCUAUAUGUGGUAUUUGUGGAUCCUUACCAUAAUGUCACUUACCUAUAGCUAAUGAAAUAUUUAAGUGGAGCUCAUAGGAGUGAAAAACAGCUCAUACAUAUGUUGUCUAAUCGAGCCAUGGAUCCAAAGGUACUCAGCAUAUAAUUAAAUCAAGAUGUGCAUGUGUGAUGGAGUAAAUGGUAGUGAUGGUGAAAAUGCAUAAGUGAUAAUAAAACUUAGUUCUCAUUGCUCCUCAUAUUGCUAUCUCUCCUCCUCUUUGAUCUUUGCUUUGGGAGAACAUGGGCUAUUUUUUUUUCAGGUGGGUAAUAGAUACCCCUAAUUCUACUGUCGGACACUUGUCCAUUUUUUCCGCUCAAGUGGGCAUCUUUGUACCCCUAAUUCUACUUCGGACACUUGUCCAUUUUUACCUCUCGUCUCACUCUUUUUCUUUCUUUUUCGAGGUUCCCGGGCACUUGCCCCUUUUUAUUUCCUCGUAUAUAUUUUUUUGCAUAACCCAUGCCUCUUCUACAUUGAAUCUUUUUAGAGAGAGAGUAUAACAAUAUUUGGGACAGUGAGUGAUAAUAUUUUUAGCAAUUUUAAUGAUUGAUGAUGAAUGCUGUGGUAGAUGCGUGCAAGUGAAUAUCUUAAUUUAUCCACAUGAAAAGCUCCUAAGGGUCAACACAGCUCGAUCAAACUCAAUGUAAAUAUAGUAAAAGAUGUUAUAGCAAGUAUGGCUGUGGUAGGUAGUUUGUUAUGCUAGGAACUCAUCAUGUGCUUCGUAAGUUUUCAAAAUAAAUCUCCAGAACUUAGUGUAGUAGGAACAAGAUAAACAGUAGCUCAACUUUAUAUCAUGUCUUUCUCUUACCUAGACUUUAGUUUUAUGCUUUCCAAAGAUAGUAAUUUUAGUUUUAGUAAUUCCUGGAAGAAUUCUAAUAUAAAAGCUAGGUACUUGUAAGUAAGCAAACAGAGCAAUUGUUCAUCAUUUCCAUCAUGCAUAUUUUUGGUCUUUUUAUUUUUUUAGAGAUUAAACUUAGCAGAAAAAUAAAACACACUUUUCUACACACUCUUUUUAUUUUGUUUUCGUGUUUAUAGAAUGCAGUAAAUUAAGAAAAUAUUUAUUUGGUUUUCUAAGUUUUUUUUUAAGAUAAAUUAAAUACUAAGACAGAAUAGAAUAAAUAAGAACAGCAAAUAAAAACUUACUUGAUAAAUUUGGGAGGAACUCCCCCAAGCUGGAUGUUGACGUCGGUCUUACCCGAUGUUCCAGAACCGCAUCAUGGUUGUGAUGUUAUCGUUCAUUGUUGUUGUAUCUUGUCUUAGCUCUUCUACUGCAGCGGCAUGGUCCUGGUUCCAUUUUUGUUGCUCUUCUAGGAGUCUUCCAUGUUCUGCUUGCGUAUUCUGGAUGUCGAGGAGGGUGUUGUCGGUACGAGUGAAGAAAGCACCGGCCUCUUGAUAGUAGUCAUUCGUGAAGGCGUAGGAGGCGUCGGAGUAUCGUCCUGCAUCAAAUUGGGGUGGAGGUCUGGAUCCCGAAGCUCCAUAUGGAUCAGUGGAGUACCUGCCCGUAUGAAAAGGCGGGUUUGUCCACUGAUGAUCUUGGCUCUCCGGCCAUGUCUCCUCUGUUGGCUCUUGUGGUUGCGCAUGACGAGCCCAUGGGUCUCGAAAGACUCGUGGAUUAUAAUCGCAAUAAUGCAGGUGCGCUGCUUCUUCUGGUCCAGGGUCAGCUCCAUACCAAGUGCGUUCUCGUUGAGUGGUUAUCCUUUCAGAUGCCACUCGCUGUGGAGUUCUCUGGUUCACUGGUGUUGUUGCAAUCUCAAUCAAAAAGUUUUGCACAGUGUAGAGGCCAAGGUUCGGGUUAGGUAACCGAAUCUUGCCUUUAUCAUCAUACAGCAUAUACAUUAUAUUCCCCUCUUUCUUUAACAUCCGAGCUUGUCUAAAUGUGUCAAAGCCAUGAUAAAUUCUUAAUUCUUCUAUGAAGUCCAACGAUGAGUUUUCUAGUAAGUGAAGAUUAGUGGCUAGACGAGUGAUAAGUGAAGUACAUCCUACUGGUCCCUGAAGACUAGGUAUACUAAGCCAAUGUGAAACUAAUAAUGUAACAGGUGAAGUAGGUACUUUACUAAUAGCAACAUAUAAAAGUUGUAAAUCUCCUACUCUUACUUUCCUAAUAUCGU